rnacentral:rRNA from 1 species
UGCCAGCCGCCGCGGUAAUACGAAGGGGGCGAGCGUUAUUCGGAAUCACUGGGCGUAAAGGGUGCGUAGGCUGUUUUGCAAGUUAGGCGUGAAAGCCCGGAGCUCAACUCCGGAAUUGCGCUUAAAACUGCAAGACUCGAAUUCGGGAGAGGAUAGCGGAAUUCCUAGUGUAGUAGUGAAAUACGUAGAUAUUAGGAGGAACACCAGUGGCGAAGGCGGCUAACUGGCUCGGUACUGACGCUGAGAUGCGAAAGCGUGGGGAGCAAACAGGAUUAGAUA